AUAUUAUCUUCACUUUUGAAUCCAUCGUCUGUAAUACGUAAGUAUGUCAUAUAAUAGCAAGCACACAAGGACAUAGAAAAGUCAAAGGAAUUAAAGAAAUACUUCAGACGUAGCCUUAAGCAAGGCCGGAAAAGCAAAAAUAUUCUUCAAUUGCAAACAAUCAGCGCUCUUGGCGACCUUGACGUUGCGUUUGAGUGUUAUGUCGAUUUACCAGGCAGCCAUACAAAACAGAUAGGCACUUCAGACAAACAUGUACAUCAGACCUCAGACAAACAUGUACAUCAGACUUCAGACAAACAUGUACAUCAGACUUCAGACAAACAUGUACUGUAUCAUGUACAUCUGGCUUCAGACAAACAUGUACAUUAGGCUUCAGACAAACAUGUACAUCAAACUUCAUACAAACAUGUACAUCAAACUUCAUAAAAACAUGUACAUUAGACUUCAGACAAACAUGUACAUCAGAUUUCAGACAAACAUGGACAUCAGACUUCAGACAAACAUGGACAUCAGGCUUCAGACAAACAUGUACAUCAGACUUCAGACAAACAUGUACAUCAAACUUCUUCCCAACAAAAUAAACUAACUGUUCAGUCCCAAAUCUCACAGAGACUUUCAAUAUCAGUAUAGUAGUAUUCAAUAUAUUAAUUGUACCUCAAGAUGUUAUAGGAUAUUCUAUUGUCUCUCAACUCAAAUCUACUUAGUAUUGCCAUUUAGUCUCCACGUGUGUCUCUAUUUUCUGUAGCCCUCACGUCCUGUUCUAAAAUCGCAAAUACAAUUUAAAAAUAAACUAAUUGAAAUUCCCCAUUCUCUAAAAAUAGUAUCCUAGUUUAUUGUACAUUACAUGUACCCAUAUAAACACCUUCCAUAGCAUG